CAAAAGUGGAGUUCAGAAACCACUUUAAAAAACGGGGUGUAUUCUGAAAAGCCUUAUGAUUUGGAAACUU
rfam:Flavobacterium frigoris strain DSM 15719 genome assembly, contig: Ga0131223_123